rnacentral:rRNA from 1 species
AGUCGGAUCGAGGCGGCCGGCGGUCGAGUCAUCUACUGGGAAGGCGCAAGGGUUCUCGGCGUGCUCGCCAUGUCACGAGCCAUCGGGGACAGCUACCUGAAGCCGUACGUGACAUCGGAACCGGAGGUGACGGUGACGGAGAGGAGCGAGGAGGACGAGUGCCUGAUCCUGGGAAGCGACGGGCUGUGGGACGUGGUCACCAACGACAUGGCCUGCCACGUCGCUCGCAUGUGCCUCCGGGCCAGUUCACCCGCGAGGGUACCCGGCGAGCGUCGCGACGGCGCGUGCUCCGACGCCGCGACGCUGCUGACGAAACUGGCGCUCGCGAGGGGGAGCGAGGACAAUGUCAGCGUGGUCGUCGUUGACGUGAGGAGACAAUCGAGAUGAUACAGUUCUACCGACAGUAGCAGUAACAUGUGAACUGGCAAUUCUCAAUGAGGAAAGAGAGAGAGAGAGAGAGAGUUUCAUUUCGUGUGUAGGGGUGAAAUCCGUAGAUCUACGAGGGAAGGCCAAAAGCGAAGGCAGCUCUUUGGGUUCCUUACUGACGCUGAGGGGCGAAAGCAUGGGGAGCAAACUGGAUUAGAUACCAGGUAGUCCAUGCCGUAAACGAGAGUGUUCGCCCUUGGUCUACGCAGAUCAGGGGCCCAGCUAACGCGUGAAACACUCCGCCUGGGGAGUACGGUCGCUCGACCGAAACUCAAAGGAAUUGACGGGGGCCUGCACAAGCGGUGGAGCAUGUGGUUUAAUUCGAUACUACGCGCAAAACCUUACCAGCUCUUGACAUAUGAACUUCAAGACCUGUCCUUAACAGGAUGGAUUUCUUAAUUUCUUACUUUCAUACAGGUGCUGCAUGGCUGUCGUCAGCUCGUGUCGUGAGAUGUUUGGUCAAGUCCUAUAACGAGCGAAACCCUCAUUUUUUGUUGCUGAGACAUGCGCCUAAGGACAAAUAGCCACCGAAGUAAGCCGAGGAGCCGGAGUCACAGCGCUACCACUUGAUUGAAUGUCAGCACGUCAUUGUGCUUUACGCAAUCAUUUCACUAUAGGGAUACGGGCACUUUCGAAAGGAAGCAGUCAACCGGAUACGACACGUCAAGGUAGCAGCUAAGGAAUACUCGGCAUUCUUGCAAGCCGCCCGGUGGUGUGGUACUACGUGGUAAUAGUAUGCGCCACGCUCCGAAACAAAGCCAAAGGUUCGUGCCGCACUCACUAGGGACUGCCAGUGAAAUACUGGAGGAAGGUGGGGAUGACGUCAAGUCAGCAUGGCCCUCAUGGGCUGGGCCACACACGUGCUACAAUUGGCAAUUACAAUGGGGAAGCAAGGCCGUAAGGCAGAGCGAAUCCAGAAAGAUUGCCUCAGUUCGGAUUGUUCUCUGCAACUCGGGAACAUGAAGUUGGAAUCGCUAGUAAUCGCAGAUCAGCAUGCUGCGGUGAAUAUGUACCCGGGCCCUGUACACACCGCCCGUCACACCCUGGGAACAGGUUUCCGCCCGAAGCAUCGGACAAAUGAUAACCCAUGACUUAUGUGUACCACUUGUGCCACAAAGUAAUUUGGUAGUCUUAUUGCCGCAUACCACGGUGAGGUCUUCCACUGGGGUGAAGUCGUAACAAGGUAGCCGUAGGGGAACCUGUGGCUG